rnacentral:rRNA from 1 species
AGUGAACGCUGGCGGUAGGCCUAACACAUGCAAGUCGAACGGCAGCACAGUAAGAGCUUGCUCUUACGGGUGGCGAGUGGCGGACGGGUGAGGAAUACAUCGGAAUCUACUUUUUCGUGGGGGAUAACGUAGGGAAACUUACGCUAAUACAGCAUACGACCUACGGGUGAAAGCAGGGGAUCUUCGGACCUUGCGCGAUUGAAUGAGCCGAUGUCGGAUUAGCUAGUUGGCGGGGUAAAGGCCCACCAAGGCGACGAUCCGUAGCUGGUCUGAGAGGAUGAUCAGCCACACUGGAACUGAGACACGUUCCAGACCCCUACGGGAGGCAGCAGUGGGGAAUAUUGGACAAUGGGCGCAAGCCUGAUCCAGCCAGACCGCGUGGGUGAAGAAGGCCUUCGGGUUGUAAAGCCCUUUUGUUGGGAAAGAAAAGCAGCAGGUUAAUACCCCGCUGUUCUGACGGUACCCAAAGAAUAAGCACCGGCUAACUUCGUG